UUUUUUUUUUUUUUAUGGCUACACCAGCAGCAUGUGGAAGUGCCCAGGCCAGGGGUAGAGUCAGAGCUGUAGCUCUGCACUACAGCCACAGCAACGAGGGAUCUGGCUGCAUCUGCGCCGACCCUACACCACGGCUCACCACAAGGCCCGAUCCCCAACUCACUGAAUGAGACCAGGGAUCGAACCCACGUCCUCAUGGAUUCCAGUUGGUUUCGUUGCUGCUGAGCCACAACAGGAAUUCAUAUUAAGAACAUUUUAAGUGAUACUAGCUUUUUAAAAAAAGUGUGUGGAGAUAAGGAAUAAAUUGACGGCUAGAGGUUUGGUUUGGAAUUCCGAAAAGAAAAAAAAAAAUUCUUUCAGAGCAUACUGAUCUUCCAAUCGCCUUCCUUCUAGACUUUUGCUAAUCAUAGGAAAUUUGUUGCAAGUGAACUACUUCAAGAAAUAGGUGAUGCUCAGUUGCAUUUAGGGGCCACUCUGAAAAAAUGGUUAAGACAAAAGAAUCAAUACCAUGUAUAAAUAGGAAGCUUCACCAUGAUGCUCUUAGCUGCUGGAGAACUUAAGUUUGGCAUUGGCCUUUAAUUGGUAAGAAAGAAACUCACUGUGCGAGUCAUUCCAAAAUGUCUCCAGUGUCCUUUGUCUUUGGAGACACCCAGGAUUCCCUGACUGUUCACGGGCUGCCUGCCACUAUGUUGUUGCUUUGUUUGUUGUUGACGGCAAAACAUAUCCCUGACUUUUUUUAAAAUCUGGAAGCAGAAGCACCCCAGGAAACAUGCUGACAGAUUUUAAGCCCUUCUGGAUAGUUGUGGCAAAGGCGGGAGAGAAAGGGAAUUCACGCAUUAAGAAAGGCUGCUAUGGCAGUUCCUGUCAUGGCUCAUCGGUAACGAACCCAGCAAGCAUCCGUGAGGACGCGGGUUCGAUCCCUGGCCUCACUCAGGUUGGCGUUGCUGUGGCUGUGGCUGCAACUACAGCUGUGAUUUGAUCCCUAGCCUGGGAACUUCCAUAUUGUGUGGGUACGGCACUAAAAUGAUAAAAAAAAAAAAAAAAAAAAAAAAAGACAAACAGCAGACAGAUUGCUAUGGGCUUUGCACUAUUUCUCAGGUACAGCCCUAUUCUGAAGGUCAGGCAGCAGAAGACUGCUCAACCCCAUCCUGCCUCUGCAGCAGACACCCCUGUAGGGCAGUGGUUUUCCCAGUGGGGUCCUAGGACCGGCAGUAUCAGCAUCACCUGGGAACUCACUUUAGGCUCUGCCCCAGACCUACUAAUCAGAAACUCUGUGCGUCAGGUCUGGCAACUGGUUUUUACAAGCCCCCCAGGUGAUUCCGAUGCAGCCUAGAAUCUGAGAACCACCGCUUACAGGCUCACAUGUCAAGACGUAAGGACAUGCAACACACACACAAUAUCUGCAGCAGGAUCACAAAGGACGUUUCUUUCCCACGUUUUUAAUAAACUGCUUUAAACACAGUCACUUCCAGAUAUAGAGGGAUGCUUUUUAAAUUACUGUUAUUAUUUUUAUUUUGGGGUGUUUUUAGGGUCACACUGGCAGCAUACAGAAGUUCCCAGGCUAAGGGUUGAAUCAGAGCUGCAGCUGCAGGCCUACACCACGGCCACAGCAACGCCAGAUCGUUAACCCACUGGGCAGGGCCAGGGAUCGAACCUGUGUCCUCAUGGAUACCCGAGUCAGGUUCCUUACCACUGAGGCACAACAGCAACGCCUCAUUCCUGCUUUUGUUUUGUUAGGAGUACACGCUAAUACGGUUGUGGCCACACAGCAGGCCAAUAAGUCAGAAGACAAGCUGCUGGGGUAAGGAACAGAGACUAUUCAGAAAGCCAGCAGACCGAGACGACGGUGGACUUUGCCCCAAAGAUCCACCUUGCCUGAAUGAGAAUUCACAUUCGUUUAUUUAAUGGCUGUGCCUUCAGAAUAGGGACGUUCCCAGGCCAGGGACUGAACCCACAGCUUCAACCCAGUACACAGGGCAGGCGAUGGAACACACAUCUCUGCAGCGACCCAAGCUGCUGCAGUCGGAUUCUUAACCCACUGAACUCCUCGAAUUCAAGCUUCUUUUCUAUUAAAAGUGCGGGAGUAGAGUUAAACAUUUCCUGGUUCCCAUCGGCCUCACAGUGGGGGGGGGGGUUAAUUUCUUCCUGCCUGUGGUCACUCUCACUGGCCGGUCAGCCCGUUCCCGGUGAGCUACACAAAGGUGGCUGAACCCAGUGCUCCUUCCCUGGGAGGCAGGGAUCCCAGGGACGGUGCAGUGUGAGGAGUUGAAGCCUGCAGGCAGCAUCCGUCUGGGAUUCACGUGGAGUGGAGCACAGAGCUCCGUCCCAUCCCACUGUCAGAUUUUAUUCAAGUUAUUCCUCUAACCAGAACACCUUCUUUUUCCACGUCCAGGCCCAUCUGUUGGAACCUUGUUCGUUUUUCAAAUUAAACCUGUUUGGGCGUUCCCUGGUGGCCCAGCAGUUAAAGGGUCCCGUGUGGUUCCUGCAGAGGUUGAGGUCACGGCUGUGGUGUGGGAUCCGCCCCCGGCCACAGGUGAGGCCAAAAUAAAUAAAUAAAUAAGCCAAACCUUUCCAACAUCUAUUUCCUCUAAGAAAUUUCUCCAGAUUCAUCCAAUCCUUGGAAAUGCAGUGUCUUUUUCUAUAAAGAGUUGUGAUUGUCAAACAAACUUUCAAACUAAAGGAAAGACAGAAGCUGACACCUUUCUUUUGCUUUCUGUCAGCUCCAGCUCAGGCCUAAAGGUUCCCUCUCCUGGAAGGUGUUUACUUGAAAUCAAGGAUCAGAGAUCAGGGGUUAGCAAACAUGGCCCAGGGCCUUUUUCUUUUCUUUCUUUUUUUUUUUUUUUUUUUUUUUUGUCUCUUUUAGGCCACACCCGAGGCAUAUGGAGGUUCCCAGGCUAGGGGUCCAUUUGGAGCUGUAGCUGCUGGCCUACACUACAGCCACAGCAACUCCAGAUCCGAGCUGAGUCUGUGACCUACACCACAGCUCACGGCAACGCUGGAUCCUUAACCCACUGAGCGAGGCUAGGGAUCGAACCUGGGUCCUUAUGGAUGCCAGUCAGAUGUGUUUCUGCUGAGCCACGAUGGGAACUCCC
rnacentral:lncRNA from 1 species